AGAGUUUGAUCAUGGCUCAGAAUGAACGCUGGCGGCAUGGAUUAGGCAUGCAAGUCGAACGCUCUCUUCGGAGAGAGUGGCGCAAGGGUGAGUAACGCGUGAGCAAUCUGCCCCAAGUUUGGAAUAACUGUUGGAAACGACAGCUAAUACCGGAUGUGGUUAUUUGAUAGCAUUUUUAAAUGACUAAAGGUUUACCGCUUGGGGAUGAGCUCGCGUCCCAUUAUGCUAGUUGGUGAGGUAAUAGCUCACCAAGGCUAUGACGGGUAGGUGGUCUGAGAGGAUGGUCACCCACACUGGGACUGAGACACUGCCCAGACUCCUGCGGGAGGCUGCAGUCGAGAAUCUUCCGCAAUGCGCGAAAGCGUGACGGAGCAAUGCCGCGUGAAGGAUGAAGGCUUUCGGGUCGUAAACUUCUGUCAGAGGGGAAAAAUUAUGAUUGUACCCUCAGAGGAAGCCACGGCUAACUACGUGCCAGCAGCCGCGGUAAUACGUAGGUGGCGAGCGUUAUUCGGAUUUACUGGGCGUAAAGGGUCCGUAGGGGGAUACAUAAGUUUGAUGUGAAAUUUCGAGGCUCAACCUCGAACCUGCAUUGAAAACUGUGUAUCUAGAAUUCGGUAGAGGUAAGUGGAAUUUGUGGUGUAGCG
rnacentral:rRNA from 1 species